GUGGGGAAUAUUGGACAAUGGGCGAAAGCCUGAUCCAGCCAUGCCGCGUGUGUGAAGAAGGUCUUCGGAUUGUAAAGCACUUUAAGUUGGGAGGAAGGGCAGUAAGUUAAUACCUUGCUGUUUUGAUGUUACCGACAGAAUAAGCACCGGCUAACUUCGUGCCAGCAGCCGCGGUAAUACGAAGGGUGCAAGCGUUAAUCGGAAUUACUGGGCGUAAAGCGCGCGUAGGUGGUUUUGUAAGUUGGAGGUGAAAUCCCCGGGCUCAACCUGGGAACUGCCUCCAAAACUGCAUGACUAGAGUACGGUAGAGGGUAGUGGAAUUUCCUGUGUAGCGGUGAAAUGCGUAGAUAUAGGAAGGAACACCAGUGGCGAAGGCGACUACCUGGACUGAUACUGACACUGAGGUGCGAAAGCGUGGGGAGCAAACAGGAUUAGAAACCCGAGUAGUCC
rnacentral:rRNA from 1 species